ACUUCUGCUUACCUUUACGUUUAUUUUAAACGUCGUGUUGUGCAUAAACUUUUAAACAGCUUCUUCAUGUUACCAAAUAUCAAUGAAACCAUUUAUUUUACUUUUGAUUUAGGCUACAGUUGUCUGAAUUUGUUCCUGUAGUCUCGCACUCACCUGCUGACUUCGUGCGUACUGCGCCUGAAGACAUCCUGAACUCGCGAGUCUUUUCCCGCUCUUAACUUCAUCCAAACCGACCCGCGUGAAGUAAAUCCCGCUGUUGAUCGACGUGGUCACAAACAGGCAUAGCAGGGAGCAGGAUGUGGACUCAGACAUUUCCUGGACCCUGGGCAGUCUGUCAGUGGAGGAUUACAUUUGGAACUCAUGGCAUGUAGGAAGUGAGAUGUAUCAUCAACAGAAGUAGGGCAAAGGAGGGUGAAAACGAAGGGACUCUAGCUCAUGCAUAUUGAUGAAGAGCAUUGUCUGUGACAAGGUGAUUUUCAGCAUUUUUAGAGACAAACAGAAUAAGCAAGGAGAAGCAGGCAUGAAUCCUUCAAAGAAUAUACUCUCCACUGUGACUUAAUUGGUUUGUUUGGAGGAGAGCACACCCGUAGGGACUGUCUGAGCGAGUCGAUGAACACGAGCAUGAAAGAGAGGAAAGCGAGAGGAUGGAUGGAUGAAAAGAUGGAUGAUAUUCUGGAAGAGCUCUAGGGCUUUUCUGAGAGGAGACACCGCUGUUACAUGAUCUCCAGCAAGCCAGAAGCACGCA
rnacentral:lncRNA from 1 species